rnacentral:lncRNA from 1 species
AUGGGGCUUUGCCGAGUGCUUUUGGCUCCCGGCGCCAGCAGCGGCUCCCUCCUCGCCGCUGCCCCAUUCCCCUCGCUCCCUGCCCCAAAGCACAGCCCCACACAGGACGGGCAGCCCGAUGCACUGGGGACGCUUGAAAGAGAAAGCCCCGAGUGGGCGGCAGGGGAGGAAUGCGGGCUCAGCGGCGAGCCCCCCGCAGCCCCCGGCCUUUGUGGCUUUUUUGAUGUUUUGUCCCCUCGCAGCCUGCGCAGGUGUGAGCGAUACAUCAGGGCGGCGGAGAAGAAAGGGAGAGGAAGCCCGCACACUUCACAGGCUGGGAAUUCAAAGCUUUUAUGGUUAUCGUCCCGUUUCCCCGGCUGCAGGAAAGCCGAGAGGGGCUGCAGGUGGGAGAAGGCAGAAAUCCCCCAGCGAGGGCAGCAGGAUGGGGGCGAGGGCGGCAGGACAGAGUCACAGGCAGCUGCGAUCACCCAUUCCUGGAGCCUUGGUGGGUGCUGGCCAUGGUGGCGUUGUCACCAGCACAGUGGCAUUGUCACCAGCCGUGGCUGCGCAGCCACCAGCCACCAACGCUCGCGCGAGGGUGAGACCCGCGCGCCCCAGACCGCCGGCGGUGGCUCCCCUCCGCCCUGCUUUAAGCCUUUCCGCUCGGAAAUUUUUCCUCCAGACACUUUGACCUCGGGGGGAGCGAGUAUUUUUCAUGUAGAUCAGGCGAAAUUCCCCCGGAGACAGCGCAGGAAUGCAAAGCAUGUUAUCCUUGGUACCAGCUCUUUCUUUUUACAGCCUAAGCUUGGCCAAGCCAGCGGGCAGGGGGAGGGGACGUCUGGGGUCCCGCCGUCUUUCCCACUGCUGAUUGCCAGCUGCCCCCGCACCCCCUCCUCCUCCUCCUCCUCGGGAGGAAGGCUGCUGAGCCAGGCAGAGCCACCGAGUCCCCCUGUGCCGGGGCAUUUGCAGCAGGGUGGCACAGAUCGGGGCGAGGCAACGCCAGCGGCAUCCCGAAACACAAGGCGAGCGCCUCGGGUGCUCGGCAGGUCCCAGCACGAGGGAGCAGCCUCCGGUGCGGUUUCGGGCACUCCUUGGGCACGCAGAGAGGCACCCGGAGCAAUGGGGAUGCUGUGGGGACGUCUGGGAGCUCCACCAGCAAAUACUUUAUUUUAUUGA